AGUGAACGCUGGCGGUAGGCCUAACACAUGCAAGUCGAACGGCAGCACAGUAAGAGCUUGCUCUUACGGGUGGCGAGUGGCGGACGGGUGAGGAAUACAUCGGAAUCUACUUUUUCGUGGGGGAUAACGUAGGGAAACUUACGCUAAUACCGCAUACGACCUACGGGUGAAAGCAGGGGAUCUUCGGACCUUGCGCGAUUGAAUGAGCCGAUGUCGGAUUAACUAGUUGGCGGGGUAAAGGCCCACCAAGGCGACGAUCCGUAGCUGGUCUGAGAGGAUGAUCAGCCACACUGGAACUGAGACACGGUCCAGACUCCUACGGGAGGCAGCAGUGGGGAAUAUCGGACAAUGGGCGCAAGCCUGAUCCAGCCAUACCGCGUGGGUGAAGAAGGCCUUCGGGUUGUAAAGCCCUUUUGUUGGGAAAGAAAAGCAGCAGGUUAAUACCCCGCUGUUCUGACGGUACCCAAAGAAUAAGCACCGGCUAACUUCGUG
rnacentral:rRNA from 1 species